rnacentral:rRNA from 1 species
UGGGGAAUUUUGGACAAUGGGCGAAAGCCUGAUCCAGCCAUGCCGCGUGCAGGAUGAAGGCCUUCGGGUUGUAAACUGCUUUUGUACGGAACGAAAAGACUCUGGUUAAUACCUGGGGUCCAUGACGGUACCGUAAGAAUAAGCACCGGCUAACUACGUGCCAGCAGCCGCGGUAAUACGUAGGGUGCAAGCGUUAAUCGGAAUUACUGGGCGUAAAGCGUGCGCAGGCGGUUAUAUAAGACAGAUGUGAAAUCCCCGGGCUCAACCUGGGAACUGCAUUUUGUGACUGUAUAGCUAGAGUACGGCAGAGGGGGAUGGAAUUCCGCGUGUAGCAGUGAAAUGCGUAGAUAUGCGGAGGAACACCGAUGGCNAAGGCAAUCCCUGGGCCUNUACUGACGCUCAUGCACGAAAAGCGUGGGGAGCAAACAGGACUAGAUACCCUGGUAGUCCACGCCCUAAACGAUGUCAACUGGGUUGUUGGGUCUUCACUGACUCAGU